rnacentral:rRNA from 1 species
UACGUAGGGGGCAAGCGUUGUCCGGAUUUAUUGGGCGUAAAGAGCGUGUAGGCGGCUUUACAGGUCCGUUGUGAAAACUCGAGGCCCAACCUCGAGACGCCGGUGGAAACCGUAAAGCUAGAGUCCGGAAGAGGAGAGUGGAAUUCCUGGUGUAGCGGUGAAAUGCGCAGAUAUCAGGAGGAACACCCGUGGCGAAGGCGGAUCUCUGGGCCAUUACUGACGCUGAGGAGCGAAAGCGUGGGGAGCGAACAGG